AGUCUAUUCGACUUUUUCUUGCAAAUCCUCUCUUUUCCGCUUUUGAUUAUGAUUGGGCCCUGCAGUGGUAGAACCUGGUGAACCAGGCAUACUGCUUGACUUGCUUUUCUUCUCUUAUGAUAUUUAUGAUAUUGAUAAGUCGAGCCUUCGCUAUUGCCUAUAAUAAGAGGUCAAGGAUCGAGUCGUCUGUUCAUAGUUUCACUUCGCUUCUGCCAUUCUGUUCCCCUCAGACUAUUAAGGGAAAGCAAGGACACCUGUGAACUCGGAUAA
rnacentral:lncRNA from 1 species